ACCGGGCAAUUAAAUAAGUAUUUAACGAGAGAACGUUUGAGCGGUUUUCUUUGAAAAUUUUAAGGAGUUUGCUUCGUACUAUGCAGAAAAGUCACCGUUCGCACAAAAAUCCGCACAACCGUUAUCGUGUAAAAGAUGCAAUUGCCAAAUUAUGGCAAUAGCCGAUCUGACUUGGUCCCUUUCUGCUUCACGCGCAAUUGAGGGUGGCUUAACUGUUUUUCCCUGACACUUUCUUCAUAUUGCAGGUUCUCACUGACUUUUUACGGUAUUCCCUGAAUGCCAACCCUCCAAACGUAAUAAAAACCCAUGCAAGUGAUUGAAUAAAACUUAAGUUUUUGUGCUCGAUUUAUCAAGUGCGAUACCCGCACCUCAUUUCUAGAGCCUUUUCCAGGGUGGCAAAAUUUCAUGAAAAUAAAACCUUGAAAUUUCACGUGAAAUAUUUCAUGAAAUGUCAGAAAUGUAUGAAACAUACCGGUUCCUUUUCAUGUUUCGCAAGAAGUAAAGAUUGCGACUGUAUUUUUGUGUGUUAGAGUGCGGGUUGCCUACUCUAGCCCCUAAAAAUAAGAAAUAUUACACCGUCUCGUGAAAUUUCAUGAAAUGUUUCACUGAAAUUCCGAUCUUUCAUUUCUACGUUUCUCGCCACCCUGACAUUUUCCCAUGGUCGGUAACACGGAGGCACUCGGGGGAAUUCACCGAGGCUUUCGGCUACUUAUUUCAAGCAACUAACGAGUAGAAACACAAAAAACCAGACGAAAAAAUGUUUUCCCGUGAAACAUUUUUGACGCGCGUUGAGUGAUACCUCAGCACGAGAGGGGAAAAUUUUUGCGAAAAUUAAACGCGUCAUGGCGAAACGGCCGAAUGCGUGACGUGACUCGGUGAACGAGGCCUUUAAAAGGGCUCUGUCUGUGAGUAUCGCUGCAAGUUUCUGUGCAGUGCUGUGAUAUACGCGACUUCACCAUGAGUUCGCCCAUGGGUGUAUUCUGCUGGUGUUUCCUUGCUCUUGCGGUUUGGCAUGUCAGCGCUAUCGAAAACCCCAACACCAAGGACAAGGAUGACGACAAGUACCUAACGGACGAGGAAGCUGUGCAGUACAUAAAAGACCACCCAAAUUCCGUGAGGAACUUCGACUUCGUCCCCAUGGAUUUGGCGGCCAGCAGCUUGACGGGCGCCCAAGACUUGCCGGAAACCAUCGACGACCGACGCCCCCUUCAGGACAACAGGCGCCCCCUCCAGGACGACCAACGCCAACAGAGCCCUCUCAAACGACAGCAGUCUCUUAGUGCGGAAGAGAAGCGCGCUUUCCUCAAGCGACAACAGUCCCGUCUCGCAGCCGACGGGCGCUCCAAUACCAAGCUUCCGAGAAAGAACUCCGGCACCAAACUGGCAGGCUCCCCAAAAAGAACAGACACGCAGAAACUCAGAGCCGCCGCCGGUCUCAACAGGUCCCCCAGCAUCAAGUCCGCGAGCCUUACCAAGUCCGGAACCCUCAAAAAGUCAGGAAACUCUCAAGGGCGCCCGUCCCCAAGACGAGCGGCGGCGCCUGCAGCCUAGGGCGCCCACUGCACCGCCUGGAACCACGAUCGUAGAGUACAUGGGACCGUUUUGUUAGCCGGUAGAUUUCCCCCCAGGAGAAGCCUUGUAAUUCGACGGUGAAACUACCAGACCACGUAUCUCGUUUGCGGUGUUUAGAAAUCUCCACUCCUAUUUAUUUUUUUGAAAGAGAACAAAUCAAUAUCAUUCCUUGAAAUUUGCACAGAGUUUUCUUUGUACAGAGAAGAAAAAACAGGGAAAUUUCCAAGAAUUUACGUUCAGUCUUUUCUAUUUAAAAAUAAAGUACGGCAGGAAGUCCGCAACGUCGCAAACCGAGAUACGUGGUUUGGUAGUUUCACCGUCGGUAUGUUUUAUCGUGAUUAAGGAAUGUUAAAUGACGCCUUUAACGUAGCAUCAUGUGAAGGAAGAUUAUUACAAAACUUGGGUCAAGUUCAACAGCGCGACUUGAGAGAUGGAUUCUUACGAAUGAUGACGAUGAUUGACCUCUUCACAAAUUACGAAAUUAAGUCAGUGGAUUUUGUUAAACUUUAACGUAGGCGCAAACAUGGCUUGAAAUUUUCUUUCGUGUUUUAAAAUCAAAUCAUGUCAAUCGUUUAAUGGUAUCUAUUUUCUCGAAUAAGCCGUUGAGUAUUACUCAAGAUUGUUAAAAAUUAUGCUUCUUAUGAUGCGACAGUGAAUAAUCUUUGAACCUCCCAUAAUAGCAAUGAUGACCGCUACACUGGUAAAAAAACAUAUUGGAUCUAGAUUCCAGACUCUUGAAAACAUUGACAAGAAAAUGGACUCUUGAUUCAAUCAGAUUUAAGCUAAAAUCAAGAACCAAGCCUCUUAAUUUGAGUGGAUUUCCUCUUGAUUUAAGCUUAAAUCUGAUUGAAUCGAGAGUCCAGACUCUUGAAAACAUUGACAAGUAAAUGGACACUUGAUUCAAUCAGAUUUAAGCUUAAAUCAAGAACCAUGCCUCUUAAUUUGAGCAAAUUUUCUCUUGAUUUAAGCUUAAAUCUGAUUGAACCAAGAGUCGAUUUUCAUGUCAAUGUUUUCAAGAGCCUGGACUGUAGACCUACUGUGUUUUUUUUUACUAGUGUAGGUCGCAUUCGCAUUUACCCCCCCCCCCCCCCCCCCAAAAAAAAAAAAACAAACAAAAAAUUUAUUUCAGGAGGGAUUAUUGAGGCGGCCUUUAUAGUCGUGAUAUGAAUAGGGGAUCUGUCGACUAUAUUUCAAGCGAUUUCUAACCUCCGAAUUCCGAGACUUCUGUGCGAAUUCCGAUAACUACUACACUUUGCAAGAGGGAUCUAUUAUUUCUAGCUCAUCUAUUUAAGCACCUAAUUGCGUAUGGAAACUUGUGGCGCAUACCUUGCUUCAAAAUAAGCCAGAGAUAGUGGUUCCUUAGUGCAGAACUUGAUCCAUAUGAUAUCGAUCCUUCUAAAUACUCUUGACGCGAGGAACAAAUUCUAUUUCGUGUUCCAAAAGUGGUUUAAUUAGUGUCUUAUUUGGUCUCGUCGUUUCACCAAUUUCAAAGGCUGUUCAUUACUGAAGCCAAUCGCAAUGACUUUUAACAUCGCCAUUGUCAUCCGAAAUAAUAUUGGAACCGGUACAAAACGCCCAGCGCACUCAUGGCUUGGAUUUUGUGAGACAAAACCCAAGUCUUGUUGGCGACAUUUUGAAAUAAGGCACUUCAAUUUCCGGUUCAUACAGAAAAGCGCCUAUACGCAUCGGAACACUAGCACGUAUGUUGUGUUCAUAAUGAGCUAAAAAUUUUAAUUCCUAAUUUCAAAGAGUGGUCCAGUCUGCGGACGGCUGAAAAUCGCGACGAUGUUGACCGCUAUUCCAUCGCUGAUCAAUUAUCUGCGCCAUUGAAGGACUGGGUUCGAGCCUGCUGAAAAGGAAGGAUCAGCAUGCGUAUAGUUCGAGUUGAGAAAAUGAGUUUUCCGUUUUAUAGUCAUAGUUUGAAAUUAGGUUUCGCAACUUCUGAUCAACGGUGGGCACAAAAGAUUUGGACCCAGACAAUAACUUCAGAGCUCCUUUCCUUACGUUGCGUUUCUUAAAUCUCAUGUACUCUACAACCGCUACCUACGGCAAUACGAUUAACACACGGAGAUUUCCCGGGCACCGAUGGUGCUGUGCAUACACUGGAUUACGAUCGACUUCUAGCAUAGAAUAUGUUUUUGAUGCAUUUACCCUUGUCAGACAGACAACCUUUUUGUACGAAUACAGUCCAAUUUCCGCGAGUGGAUUCGGGUUAGGUCUUAACCUGCACUAUUACCAUCCUCCGUUACAAACAAUUCAAUUUUUGGCGUGUUAUGAGUAUUUCGUGGAUACCAACCUUCCUUGCCUAAAAGUGAACCGGAUUCACCCAGCGGAUAUUUGACUUGAUCAACAAAGGCUUUUUGUACACCCGUUUUUGAAAUACAUUGGUUUAUCGCACGAUGAAACUUUUUGAGUUAUUUUCACACUUGUUUUCUGAAGAUAAAGAAGGUUGAUGAACGUUCAGUUUCAUACCCGAGGAUUAAAGUCCAAUAUAAAAUGUUCGGAGCAAAAAGAAGUUCCUUCAGAGGGGGAGUUCAGCAAUGAAUACGACAUCAACGUUUGUACAGUUUCACACCCUCGAAUCAAAGUCUUUACAGAAUGUUUGGAACAAGAUGAAGCCCCUUCAGUGGAAGAGUUCAGCAAUCAAUGCGACAUACACGUGUUGAUAGUUGCAUACCCACGAAUCUGCGGGUACUGAUGAUGCUGCGUGUAUUCUGGAAUACGCUCAACAACGUCUGGGACUAUUCAUUAUAUCCGAUCUUUCAGACGAGUCUUUCUGUACGAGUGCGUCGACGGCUGUUACAAUACGGCUCUUUCAGUAAUAAAAAAACCAUGACGCUCUUACGUUCGUAAAACGUUCGAUUGACGUUCGCAGUUUUUUGUAGA
rnacentral:lncRNA from 1 species